UAUAAUUUUUGACUUUUUCGUCUUAUUCAAAAAAAUUUUACGAUUGAUAUUUUUGUUUUUAUUAGAUAAUAAAUCAUGAAUAGUACUUUACGUGUGACUAAUUUUUUUUCUAAUUUUUUAAAUAAGACGGAUGGUCAAAUGUUGAACACGGAAACCGA
rnacentral:pre_miRNA from 1 species